rnacentral:rRNA from 1 species
ACUGACAGCCAUGGUUACCGCGGCUGCUGGCACGGAGUUAGCCGGUGCUUCUUCUGUGAGUGAUGUCCUUCCUGCCGGCUAUUAACCCGCAGGCCUUCUUCCUCACUGAAAGUGCUUUACAACCCGAAGGCCUUCUUCACACACGCGGCAUGGCUGGAUCAGGGUUGCCCCCAUUGUCCAAUAUUCCCCACUGCUGCCUCCCGUAGGAGUCUGGGCCGUGUCUCAGUCCCAGUGUGGCUGAUCAUCCUCUCAGACCAGCUACGGAUCGUCGCCUUGGUGAGCCGUUACCUCACCAACCAGCUAAUCCGACAUAGGCUCAUCCGAUAGCGCGAGGCCCGAAGGUCCCCCGAUUUCCCCCGUAGGGCGUAUGCGGUAUUAGCCUGGGUUUCCCCAGGUUAUCCCCCACUACCGGGCAGAUUCCUAUGCAUUACUCACCCGUCCGCCGCUCGCCACCAGGGAGCAAGCUCCCCGUGCUGCCGCUCGACUUGCAUGUGUUAGGCCUGCCGCCAGCGUUCAAU